AUUAUUAUUACUUAUCACUUGUUAAGCACCAGGUGCUCUGUGCUCUACAAGCCGUGCACGUAAGGAGUCGGUCCCUCCUGCUAAGAGGGUACAGCGGAGAGGCCUGGUCCUGAGUCCGGGGAAGUUUCUUCUGAAUCGGGCUGCCGCUGAUGACAAGAUGCCAAAGGAAACAGAGGAGGGAAUAAAAGCUUUAGGUUGGUUUUCUAUUUUUUUUUUUCCCUGUUGCGUUUGUAUAUUUGUUAGCUAUAUUUCUUCAGAAUACCCACUGGAUCAAAGUUCAUUUCAAGGGAUUUUGAUCACAAAAUAACCAGAUCAGAAGCUGCUGCUUUCUUCCCUUACGUAUCUGCAUCAGAGGCUUUUUCCUUCGAGCACUGGGCAGAAAAGAUCAUGUACCCAGCCCUAACGAAACCCAGUUUCACACCAUAAAAGGAGGAUAAAUUGGAACACUCAUGAAGGACUAGAUGAGCUUCAAAAGAAUAUUUUUAGCAAACCCCUGAGCCCUAACAAUUUGUAAAAUGAGAAAAAUUCCUUAGCCGUCGCUGAGCCGUAUUCCAGUACACAGAGCUGUAUCUCUGUCUAGUGGCACUGCACAGUGUGCAUAUAUAUUGCAUUCUCUAUUUGUGCCUGUACACGCUUUUCAGAAAGGGCACAUGAAAGCACUAUCCCUUUCCCAUAUAGAAAACUGUGGUAACAGGAUGUCAUCUGUUGCAAAAUGCUGGAGUUGCAUAAUUUUAUUUUUUUUCAGUGCUGACUUUCUGUCCACUUUCCUGCACAUAUGUUAAGGUUUUGCAUCUGUAGCAAACCUGUGUUCAGUGAACUCGGUGUUCGAGUAGGAGAAAACUUCAUGCUAGUAAUCUAUGCGGUGUGCGUCCUCGCCGAGCAGAAAGCUGUGUCAUGCGAGACACGGAACCGAGCGCGCCGCAACUUUAGGGCAGAGGGUAGCAAUUCUUUUUAUGAAGAAGAAUCUCUCCAGCUCAUCAAAAGGGAGACAGACGUUGCCCGUACAGAGUUUAAAAUCACAGCAAGAACUUGUUACCCUUUUGCAACCUCUCUGGACGGAGCCUGUUCCUCCACGCGGUGAAGAGGGAAUCGCUCGAGGUAAUCUUGAAUUUUGCAAGUGUUCAGCUGUACCAGAGCAGCACAGGGAAGGACGAGCCAGUGCUAUCCCUGUGUCAGCAAUGAGCUCCCUCCGUGCAGGCCUGAAUUAGGUCCCAGCCUACCAAGGUAAACAAUAUUAAUCGUCUACAUUUAACCCUGUGAAAGGAAGGUCAUUAUGUUGUGCAAGGGGCUGUACAGACACAUACAGUGAUACCACCCACUGGUCUGAAGAGUUGGCAGUCUGAAGAGACUCUGCGUGGGGACUGCAUCAGAAAGUUAUCACCUUUCCCGUUCAGAACAGAUAUUGUUCUCAGUACAACCUCUUCAAGUAGUAAAUUAAAUACUAUUUGCAUUUUUGAAGACGACUCUGUAUCCUUAAUCUUUUCUUAUUAAAACAGGAUGAAGAAAGUAAAAAGAUCAACAAUUUAAACGUGGAAGUAAACAAGCAAUCAUGAAUAGCUAGCUACAUGGAAUUUCUCAAAGUGCUUCCUUGGAGCACUUGGAAUAAAAGAUUACCAAAAACAUUUAUUUCUGGAAUAUUACCUAAAAUCUGACUAGGAUAUAACCAGAUACAUAUCAAAGAUACUUGAGUUAACACUGCAAGUAUCACUUAAAUUCACAGCCUAACAAAAGUUCUCAAGGACAUAAUCCCACUGGGAAAAGAAUGAACAUUUUACAACGUAAGACUUCAUACUUGCAAAAAUGGUGACUAUUGAAAAUGUUCCAUUAGCAUCUGGAAACGGAUUGUGUUGCCACUACUAUAAUCAAUAAAGUUGCACGGCAUGCCAAGUUCAUGGGCACUUGUCAGGCAUGGUGAAAUGAAGCUUCACUUUUUUGGGUGAUCACCUUGAGACAGAUUUUCAGAGCUGUUCCACUGUAGUAUCAGCUAAAAAACUUAUAAGCACUUGAAAAGAGUGUUCCCUGUUUACUUGUAUCUUCUAAGACACGGAGUAAGAAUGGUUCAAACAGGAGCUGCAGAGAACUUGCUAUCAGCUAGUGCGUCAGCAGUAAAUAAACCUUCCCUCCCUGAUGACCAUCUUUUAUAAAGUCCCAGUCUACAAAAAGUAUGUACUCUAGUUUUUUAAAUGUCGGUAUGCCUUGGAAAUCUAUAUGACAUAAACUUUUGCCUAAAAAUCAAUUCUGAGUUACGAUUUGAUUAGAAGAAAAUUGCUAUCACAUUUGUUUCUACAUUUGUCUACCUCAUGUCCUUUGCAUUCAUAGGCUGGCCGAUUUAAGCUUUCUUUAAAAACUCCCCAAGAAAGUCUGUGACAUUAAAAUGUCCUUUGAUGCUCUUUCACUAAGCACUGAAUAUUAACAGUUAUGGUGACCCUGUUCCCUAAUGUGUCUCUGUUGGAUCAAUAGCAGUUAAGUGCCACUGUUUUACAAUUAAAAAGGGGAUCAUUUUAAAUUUAAAAGCUCAUAGCUAAUUUUCUUCUUGGCACUUAAUAGCAUAAUUCAUUUUUGAAAAACCACCUAGCACGAACAUAUACUUUAUUCUUUGGCGGCAGCCUUAUUGGGGCUAGUUUUAGUACUCAUUGUUGCAUUAUAUUUCAUUUACAGCAAUGCCCAGUCAAGCCAUCCACAUGGCAGCAAGUGUCAUAUUGCCCCUAAACACGAGCUUGAUCAGCAGGUAAUAAGUAGAGGAAGAACCUGCUGAUUUUGCACCUCCGUGAACAUAUUUCUGAUACACAUUUUGUAAUGAAUUGCUGAGACUAGGAAGAGGCAGAGAGGUUUGUGCUCUGCUCAAAGAAGCCAACAAGUAGGCAGAAGUUUCUAAGUCUGGGUAAACCAGUACUGCCUGCAAAAUAUUAUAAUACACACUGAAUAAUACAACACUGCACUUUCUACCUGUUAAAAAAGCACCUGCCCCAGCAAGAAUACUUUGGAUUUCAAUAUAACAACAGUCAACAACAGCCUCAAAUUAUCCAUGGCAUCCACACGGAAAAACAUUCACACGCUCCUCUACUUCUCACCCCUCAUUGAAGAAAAAAAAAAAAAAAAGAAAGAAAAAA